GUCUACAUGGCCAUACCAUCCUGUGAGUGCUCAAUCCUGUCAGUUGUCUUGAUGCUUAGCAAAGCUGUGCCUGGUUAGUACUUGGAUGGGAGACUAACUUGGAAGACCAUGGCCCCUUAGACA
rnacentral:rRNA from 12 species